CCUACGGGUGGCAGCAGUGAGGAAUAUUGGUCAAUGGCCGAGAGGCUGAACCAGCCAAGUCGCGUGAGGGAAGACGGCCCUACGGGUUGUAAACCUCUUUUGUCGGGGAGCAAAGCGAACCACGUGUGGUUCAUUGAGAGUACCCGAAGAAAAAGCAUCGGCUAACUCCGUGCCAGCAGCCGCGGUAAUACGGAGGAUGCGAGCGUUAUCCGGAUUUAUUGGGUUUAAAGGGUGCGUAGGCGGCCUUUUAAGUCAGCGGUGAAAGUCUGUGGCUCAACCAUAGAAUUGCCGUUGAAACUGGGAGGCUUGAGUAUGUUUGAGGCAGGCGGAAUGCGUGGUGUAGCGGUGAAAUGCUUAGAUAUCACGCAGAACCCCGAUUGCGAAGGCAGCCUGCCAAGCCAUGACUGACGCUGAUGCACGAAAGCGUGGGGAUCAAACAGGAUUAGAUACCCGGGUAGUC
rnacentral:rRNA from 1 species